UACAGAGGUCCCGAGCGUUGUUCGGAUUCACUGGGCGUAAAGGGUGCGCAGGUGGCUUGGCAAGUUUGAUGUGAAAGCUCAGGGCUUAACCCUGAAAUGGCAUUGAAUACUGUUGAGCUGGAGGUUUGGAGGGGGGACUGGAAUUCUUGGUGUAGCAGUGAAAUGCGUAGAUAUCGAGAGGAACACCAGUGGCGAAGGCGAGUCCCUGGACAGGUCCUGACGCUGAGGCACGAAAGCUAGGGGAGCAAACAGG
rnacentral:rRNA from 1 species